AGAAUUUCGCUUGUGUCUCGAUCGCGAGAAACAAGGACGACGAGAGACAUGCUAGCUACUGUGACCGAGAGCCUGGUGUGUCAGAAUCAGAUGUCCCGAGUGUGUCGUCAGACACGACGAUAUUCCUCCGCCCUUCUCCUCUCCCUCCUCCUCCUCCUCCUCCUCCUCCUCCUCCUCCUACUUGACUCGAGGAAGAAAAAGAAGAAGAAGAAGAAAAUGAUGAUGAAGACAGCCUUGAGUGAUGACGACUCGACAAGCGGUGACGUUGAUGCAGUGACCACUGACCCUGAGUGAUGACCGGUCCAUCCACACAACUCCCAUGUGAGACCGAGCAGAAUUUGUCUCUGGAGCGAAAUGUCCCCCACAAAUUUCAGUUGAGAAAGAUGCCAGUACAGACGUCUUGCCAGUUGUCUCCUAUUAUGUCACAACAACAAAAUGUCACCACACCAGAACGAGAUGUCACAACAGGGAGAUGUCACCAAAGAUGUUCCCAAGACGAGAUUCGACCACAGUUCAACCACCAACUCCC